CCUACGGGAGGCAGCAGUGAGGAAUAUUGGUCAAUGGACGAGAGUCUGAACCAGCCAAGUAGCGUGAAGGAUGACUGCCCUAUGGGUUGUAAACUUCUUUUAUAAAGGAAUAAAACGAGGCACGUGUGCCUUUUUGCAUGUACUUUAUGAAUAAGGAUCGGCUAACUCCGUGCCAGCAGCCGCGGUAAUACGGAGGAUCCGAGCGUUAUCCGGAUUCAUUGGGUUUAAAGGGAGCGUAGAUGGGUUGUUAAGUCAGUUGUGAAAGUUUGCGGCUCAACCGUAAAAUUGCAAUUGAUACUGGCAGUCUUGAGUACAGUUGAGGUAGGCGGAAUUCGUGGUGUAGCAGUGAAAUGCUUAGAUAUCACGAAGAACCCCGAUUGCGAAGGCAGCUUACUAAACUGUGACUGACAUUGAUGCUCGAAAGUGUGGGUAUCAAAAGGGAUUAGAUACCCGGGUAGUC
rnacentral:rRNA from 1 species